CAGUAUUAUAAGCCCCGUUUGUUUCUUUGAUAGUAGGUCAGUUGUAUUUUUGAGUCUCUUAUGUUCAGAGCUUUAGUUACCGUCUGUUUAUUUGACCUCUUGUACGGGCUCAAAACUUAACUUCAUUUUGUUGUAAUGAUUUUUGGGAAAUAAAACCCCUUACUUUUGAACUUUCUUGUGACUCCUCUUG